rnacentral:lncRNA from 1 species
CCUUUUUCCCCUAUUCAUAUGCUAUUAUUUAUUUAUAUGCACCAUAAAUUAGACAAAUAUAAUAGAAUAUUUUAAAAAACUAUAUAUAAAUUAUAUAUACAAAGGAUUUUUGUAAAUUUUUAAAAGCUCAUCCGACAACACAAGGCGCUGAAUGUUGAAAGACGAACACUCAAAAAAGAUGUGAUGUAGUGUUUGAACCUUUUGCAAUUGACAAUAAUCACAAUAUGCUGAGCUGACCAUUUUGAGACGAUAAAGAACCAAGGUACAGUAUUAACUUGGACAUCGAGAGUAUUAAACCAUGAACCCACAUUUUCAUUGUGCACACAAUUAUAUGAAUGUCUCCCCCACGCUUCACACAUGCGUUGCCUUAAGAGACUAACUACAUCUGUGUAAGUGCACUCAAGAUUGCAACAGCUUCAGCUGUAAAAAUACUGGCAUUUUUGUCAAUUUUCAUGCCUAUACCGAUAUUUGAAGUAGGCUCAUAAAUAGCAAAAGAAGCCGCUCUAUCAUUCUUGGAACCAUCAGUAUAUACAAAUUUGUGAUCUGACCACUCUGACAACAUAUUAUACACAUCCUCUUUAGAAGACAAUUCUUUUCUCUUCUUUAUAAUGACAGUUAUAGCUGGAAAUUUACUACUAAAUGAACCUUCGUAACAAGGCAGGAUAUGUUUUGAUUGAUGAAUGUUAAUAUUUUCAAUAAAAGCUUUAAAUUUUUUAAGACUUUGUAAUAUAUAAAAAGGUUUUAAAGUAGCAUGUGUAGCUAAAUGUACAAGAUUGUUUAAAAGACUAUUACCAGAAACACUAUAAAGCUUCAGAAAGAAUCUUUCCAAUAAGAAAUCAAAACGAAUAGCUAGAGGUGCAACAUUACAUUCAAUCUGCAAAGCGUUCACAGGAGUACUUCUGAAUGCCCCAGUAAUAACCCGCAAACAUUUGUUUUGCAAAAUAUUUAAACUAUUUACAUGUUUUGAAUCUGCAGCAAAGCAAUAAAAACCAUAUUCAAAGUGACUACGUACUAAAGAUUUAUAUAACAAUAAUAAUAUUUUUGGGUCUGCUCCCCAGUAAGUUCCACUCAAGGAUUUUAAAACAUUGAAACCUCUAUUUGCUUUGGCAACAAUAUUCCUAAUGUAAUUACUCCAGGACAAAUUGUGUGUAAAUAUAACUCCCAAAAAUCUAACUUCAAGAGAGCUGGGUAAUGCACAAUUAUGAUACAACACAGCGGGUAAAUUAUGAUUCCGCUUACCGAAAACGACUACUUUGGACUUUAAUGGAUUGAUAGUGAGAUCAAGGGAUGUGAUAACUGCUACCAAGAGGACAAUCAUGUACGUUCCAUUCACAAUUCAGCGCUAAAGAUGAUGAAACUAAUGUCAAAUCCAACGCAUUAGGACGCCAAGUCAAGGAGCCAACAGUAGUUGGUUGACCAUCAUUGAGCAGAACCAAAUUAUUAUCAUCAAUAACCUGUAGAAUACUGCGCCCACGCACAGAGUCCGAGCCACAGCCCCAAGAUGUGUGAUGAGCAUUAAAAUCACCAGCCAAUAUGAAAGGUUCAGGAAUAGAUUUUAUUAAUAGAUCCAAUUUUUCCUUUGAGAAUAGCGGAUUACAAUUCAAAGGACUAUAAAGACUGACUAUACAUAACUCUUUGUUAUUUACUUUUAUUUUAACACAAAUAUUUUGUAAUGAGUUAUCACAGAAGGUUUUAAUUUGAGUAUAAUUAAUACUUUUAUGAAUGAUUAUUGCAACACCAUUAUGUUUGUUACCAAUAUCAUUUCUUUCAAUAUUAUAAUGUUUAAUUUUAAAAUCGUGUUGCGGUUUUAACCACGUUUCACUAAUGAUUGCCAGAUGAAUAUUGUGUCUAUAAAGAAAGUCAAUAAAUAUAUGUUUGUUACUAUUUAAGCUUUGUGCAUUCCAUUGAACAAUAUUUAAUUCCGAAAUAUCCAUUAACAGGCAGAAGAAAAUUUAUCACAUAAAGUUGAUUUGAGAGCUUCUUUAAUCGACAUUGAAUUAAUGGGUGUUUGUUUAUUGCUUAAUAUUUUCGUAAGUGUUUCCACUAAUGUAUUUAUAAAUUUGUCUGAUUUCAUAAGAUUAUUUAUUUGCGUGUCAAUAUUGCGUGCCGUUAGAGCUGGGAAUGAAUUCACAUUAAAAAGGUCUGAAUAAGUGGC